UAGCUGCACGCUCCUGGAAACAGGAGCUUCCUUCGAGGGUGCUACACAGGUGCUGCAUGGUUGCCGUCAGCUCGUGCCGUGAGGUGUACCCUUAAGUGGGGUAACGAGCGCAACCCUCGUGUUGUGUUACAUUGUACACAACAGACUGCUCGCGCAAGUGAGAGGAAGGCGGGGACGACGUCAAAUCAGCAUGGCUCUUACGCCUUGGGCUACACACAUGAUACAAUGGCCAGUACAAAGGGUUGCUAAACCGCGAGGUGGAGCUAAUCCCAAAAAACUGGUCUCAGUUCAGAUUGCAGGCUGCAAUUCGUCUGCAUGAAGUUGGAUUCGCUAGUAAACGUGCAUCAGAACGGCACGUUGAAUACGUUCUCGGGUCUUGUACUCACCGCCCGUCACACCACGAAAGUUGGCAACGCCCGAAGGCUCCCAGUAGGGGGACGAAGGCAGGGUCAAUGAUCAGGGUGAAGUCGUAACAAGGCAUCCGUAGCGGAAGCUGUGGAUGGAUCACCUCCUUU
rnacentral:ncRNA from 1 species